UUUCCCAAUUUACAAACACACACACACACACACUACACAUUGUCACAUAAUUUUAGCAGGUAAAUCAUCAUGCUAUCAUUAAUGUGGAGAGUCAAGAAAAGGGAUUCUUCUAAUUCCGAGAAAAAAAAUAUUUUCGAUUUUUUUUCGAAUAGAAGUGAUUAUUCGAGUGAAGAAAAUAUGAAAUCCGAAGAUGGAGUUUCUUGCGACGAUUAUCAAUAUUCUUACAAUUUUCUCAACUCUUGCCACCUCUGUCACAAGCCAUUGAGUGGCAAAGAAAUUUACAUGUAUAGGGGAGAAAUAGGAUUUUGUAGUGAUGAAUGCAGAAGCAAGCAAAUGUAUUUGGAUGACAUGAAGAAAAUCGAAAUUUCUACGAAAAGAAUCUUGGCAUCUUUUCAUGAGCGACGCCGCAAUGCAGGUGACCGGUGCAAAGCUAGAGGUGUUGGGAGAGCAGCGGCGACGCCCAUUUUCGUCUUGCAGUAGAGAAGUUUUUAGUUAAUGGAAAGGUAGUUUGGUGACAAAUUUAGCUCGUGUGGGAGUUAGGUUAAUUAAUUAGCUUAUUUAGUUCUAAGGCUCGUGGAAAACAUGCAAAAUACAUUUUCAUGUAUUUUUUUUGUUCAUAAAAACUAGUCCUAUAAUCGAGUAAUGUACUAGAUUUUAAUAUAGUACAAUAUGUUAUACCAAUAGGUGUUGUGAGUAGAAAUAUGAGUUGAUUUUAAGGUGAAACUUUAUUAGUAGUGUUUGGUUAGUUUUCGUUUCUCUUAUAAAUUUACAAUGAAAUGUAAUGAAAAUAAUGUAAUAUGACAUUCUAUUAUCAUCUUA